GAUGAACGCUGGCGGCGUGCCUAAUACAUGCAAGUCGAGCGAACGGACGAGAAGCUUGCUUCUCUGAUGUUAGCGGCGGACGGGUGAGUAACACGUGGAUAACCUACCUAUAAGACUGGGAUAACUUCGGGAAACCGGAGCUAAUACCGGAUGAUAUUUUGAACCGCAUGGUUCAAAAGUGAAAGACGGUCUUGCUGUCACUUAUAGAUGGAUCCGCGCUGCAUUAGCUAGUUGGUAAGGUAACGGCUUACCAAGGCAACGAUGCAUAGCCGACCUGAGAGGGUGAUCGGCCACACUGGAACUGAGACACGGUCGAGACUCCUACGGGAGGCAGCAGUAGGGAAUCUUCCGCAAUGGGCGAAAGCCUGACGGAGCAACGCCGCGUGAGUGAUGAAGGUCUUCGGAUCGUAAAACUCUGUUAUUAGGGAAGAACAUAUGUGUAAGUAACUGUGCACAUCUUGACGGUACCUAAUCAGAAAGCCACGGCUAACUACGUG
rnacentral:rRNA from 1 species